AAAUGCGAUAAGUAAUGUGAAUUGCAGAAUUCAGUGAAUCAUCGAAUCUUUGAACGCACAUUGCGCCCCUUGGUAUUCCGGGGGGCAUGCCUGUUCGAGCGUCAUUACAACCCUCAAGCUCUGCUUGGAAUUGGGCACCGUCCUCACUGCGGACGCGCCUCAAAGACCUCGGCGGUGGCUGUUCAGCCCUCAAGCGUAGUAGAAUACACCUCGCUUUGGAGCGGUUGGCGUCGCCCGCCGGACGAACCUUCUGAACUUUUCUCAAGGUUGACCUCGGAUCAGGUAGGGAUACCCGCUGAACUUAAGC
rnacentral:misc_RNA from 1 species